AGCAAAAGAGAACGAUGUCUUGUGCCAA
rnacentral:sRNA from 1 species